AUAAAUGUAUCUUGGUUUGUGCUACGUGUCAUCGCGAGGUUGAGGCAGGCGUUACGCAGCUUCCCGAAGGAAUUCGGGAAUGAAGAACGAGGUGAAUUCGGGGAAACCCUAACAGAGGAAAUGCUGUGGGCGAUCCCGAGCCAAGCCUUGCCGAUGGCGGGGAAGGUGUAGAGACUAUCCCGCAAGGGAGUAGUACCGAAAGGUACGAAGCGCCUCGCAUCCAAGAUUUACGAGAGUAAAAAGGAUGAUAAUAUAGUCCAUCCCUUUUGGAAACUUAAGG
rnacentral:ncRNA from 1 species